rnacentral:tRNA from 1 species
CCCUUGCGCCUCAGUUGGUAGAGCACGGCGCUUGCAACGCCGGGUUUGCGGGUUAAAUUCCCACGUGAGGGA